rnacentral:rRNA from 1 species
UCAGCCGCCGCGGUAAUACGAAGGGUGCAAGCGUUACUCGGAAUUACUGGGCGUAAAGCGUGCGUAGGUGGUUUGUUAAGUCUGAUGUGAAAGCCCUGGGCUCAACCUGGGAAUUGCAUUGGAUACUGGCAGGCUAGAGUGCGGUAGAGGAUGGCGGAAUUCCCGGUGUAGCAGUGAAAUGCGUAGAGAUCGGGAGGAACAUCUGUGGCGAAGGCGGCCAUCUGGACCAGCACUGACACUGAGGCACGAAAGCGUGGGGAGCAAACAGGAUUAGAUACCCUGGUAGUCCACGCCCUAAACGAUGCGAACUGGAUGUUGGGAGCAACUAGGCUCUCAGUAUCGAAGCUAACGCGUUAAGUUCGCCGCCUGGGGAGUACGGUCGCAAGACUGAAACUCAAAGGAAUUGACGGGGGCCCGCACA